AUGAAUGGUUGUUGUAUGGUCCUUUCUUUUUGGAUUAUCUUUUCCUUGCAUUAUAUUUUAGAAUAAAUAGCAAUUACAUUUUAUUGUUUUGUUCUGUCCAAUUGAUCCUCCUACCGUAUAUGAUUGUCUUAAUCGGAACCUCUACAUCGGUGGUUUCGCAUGAGCAUAGGGCAUUGUGGCAUCUUAUCUGGUUGCAUACAAAUUUAUCACAAUAUAGGGUGGUCUCUCCCGCUCCUCCCCUCCCCGCGACUCCUCACGCCGACUCCUCCUCCUGCGGGAUCUUUAACACCGUCUCCGGAUGUGUCAUCCCCCUCGGUAACCGCAUCUGAC
rnacentral:lncRNA from 1 species